rnacentral:rRNA from 1 species
GACGAACGCUGGCGGCGUGCUUAACACAUGCAAGUCGAACGGAAAGGCCCCUUUGGGGGUACUCGAGUGGCGAACGGGUGAGUAACACGUGAGUAACCUGCCCUUGACUUCGGGAUAACUUCAGGAAACUGGGGCUAAUACCGGAUAGGAAUCCUUGCUGCAUGGUGGGGGUUGGAAAGCUUCGGCGGUUUUGGAUGGACUCGCGGCUUAUCAGCUUGUUGGUUGGGUAGUGGCUUACCAAGGCUUUGACGGGUAGCCGGCCUGAGAGGGCGGCCGGCCACAUUGGGACUGAGAUACGGCCCAGACUCCUACGGGAGGCAGCAGUGGGGAAUAUUGCACAAUGGGCGGAAGCCUGAUGCAGCAACGCCGCGUGCGGGAUGACGGCCUUCGGGUUGUAAACCGCUUUCAGCAGGGGCGAAGCUUGUGGUGACGGUACCUGCAGAAGAAGCACCGGCUAACUACGUG